UUAGGAAUAUUGGACAAUGGGCGCAAGCCUGAUCCAGCCAUGCCGCGUGAGUGAAGACGGCCUUAGGGUUGUAAAGCUCUUUCAGGUGUGAGGAUAAUGACAGUAACACCAGAAGAAGCCCCGGCUAAAUUCGUGCCAGCAGCCGCGGUAAUACGAAUGGGGCGAGCGUUGUUCGGAAUCACUGGGCGUAAAGCGUAUGUAGGCGGAAUUGCAAGUCAGAAGUGAAAGCCCGGGGCUUAACCCCGGAAUUGCUUUUGAAACUGCAAUUCUAGAGUUCUGGAGAGGCAAGGGGAAUUCCGAGUGUAGAGGUGAAAUUCGCAGAUAUUCGGAGGAACACCAGUGGCGUAGGCGCCUUGCUGGACAGAUACUGACGCUGAGAUACGAAAGCGUGGGGAGCAAACAGG
rnacentral:rRNA from 1 species